GCCGUCGUAGCACAAUGGUAGUGCGUUGCUUUCCUAUGCAUGUAUGAGCCCGUGUGUAUUGAGGCAGAGGCUGUGGGUUCGAGUCCCACCGUCGGUU